UCUCUCCACAGGACACGUAACACCUCUGGAAUUCAGCAAGAGGAGACGCAGGCACAGCCAGGCACUCGUGUGCUGGUACACACGUGUAUGGCCACCCCUGCACAGCUCUGCCAAGGGUGGCACCUCUCCACCAGCGAGGUCUGCCACUGCCUACACCUGCCAGCUGCCAGCCCUGCCCACUGCAAACCACCUGAGGAGCUGUGCUGCUACAACAUUGCUGCUGGCAAAAAAAAAAAGGGGGGUUUGGUUAGGAAAAACAAGAAUGUAUAGGCUGCCAGCUUGUGAAUCUGCAUGCUGUCAGCAUUGGUAGGGAGCAAGUUUGUCAUUCCACAUGGGGAAAACAGACUUCUGCAAGAAGGAUGUCAUGAGGGGAGUCAGAAGUCACUGACCAAAUUGUGUUACACUGCACUUUUGUGUCUGUGCCUUCACUGUUUUGUUUCACACACCUGGCCUCUAUGGCCACUGAAUCCAUGGGAAAUAGAGUAUCCAAAAGAAAGCAGCAACAGGAAAAAUUGACACCAAAAGCAUGAGUGAUCCCAGAGGAAAAUUGAGGAUACGGAUACACCAUUGCCCUGGAAAGAAAUAAAUACCCUUUUAAAGAGAGGAAUGAUGUAAAGGCUGUGUUGUCUGAGUGUAAACAAGCUGACUUGGAGGGUACCUGCCCUGGUGUGGAGACAGCAUAAAUCCUGCCCCUCGACGUCUGCACAGCUGAGGGCUCUCAAAGCUCCUACACCAGGAACAUACACUGGACACAGAGAUAAACGGGUUCUGUGAAUUUCAUGUAGGCAAAGUAAACCUCCUUGGGAGUUGACACGCCAAGCGGCUGCCCUCAGAGUGGUCAGAACUGGCACAGGAUUUCUUUGUGCUCUCCCUGCUCAGUGUUCCUGAUGCUGCUGGGAUCCUGCUCUGGAUCCAUUCCAGAGGAGCAGCAAGGUGGUGCCGGCCCUGCCAGGAGUGCUGGUGCUGAGCUGUGCAGACCUGGCCCCUGGUCCUGCUGCCCAGGCUGCCAGUGGGAGCCCUGCCUCCAACCCACCUUGGGUCUGCUGGGAAAGCUGAGCCUCUUGGCAAGCCACCUUGCACGCCUAGCUGAAAAUAGCGCUGUUUUUGCCAAAACAUACACUCAGGGCUUGGAUUCAACAAUGCUGCAUCAGCAGCUCGUAAUCAAGUUGACACGGGCUGAUUGUUUAUUGUAAGAGACGGGGGAAAUCGUGAUUUGACCGGAUUCAGUAAAAACCAAAUAAACCGGAGGAGAGGAGCUGGGUUUAUUUGCACGAGACAGGAAAUCUUUUCAGUGGACUUGUGACAACUCAGGCCUUGACCUGCUGUCUCUUCUGCAUGCAGCCAGGAUGGUGGGGUGGUCUGUGAACUUGGGAAGGGCUGGAGUGAAGUCUGAGCAGGAUGCGAGGGAGGAACAGAGCACUUAUUUGUGCAGCGCAAGGCGGGUCCCUCCUCUCCUGAAGGGCAGAUGCCAGCAUUGGUGAUGUGGGGACCUGUUUUCCAGAGCAGCUGAGCUAUCAACCCUUCCUGGUCCUGAGCUCCUGAGCACCAUGACUGAAAAUCUCAUGGCCUGUGACAUCUGAAGGUGACACAGGGGAGGAAGGGCUGCUGCCCUCAAGCUUUCCACCUACAAGAAUGCCCUGUAGUAGAUGAGACCUCCUGGAGAAGAGCAGCACCUACUCUGAGAAGCAGUGGCAAGAGGCAUCUGGUAAUCAUCAUGGAAGCAGGGUGGAAGAGGGGAAUUACACACAGACUGCAGCCCAAACCAGGAACCAGGGCAGGGCUGGGAGGCAUUCACACCCUUCCCCAGAGCAAGGCUGCCUCAGUCUGUGGCAGUGGUUUCCUCAGCAGUCCCCAGCAUGGUCCUGGGUUUUUCUGUGCCUUCUACAGCUGUCUGCUGCUAAUGUAAAUACCAGGUUGCUCCAGGGCAGGGAGACAGCAGAGUCCAGACCCUGGGGGCGGCUGUACCUGAUCUCACUGUUGUGCCAUUUCCAGCACCCAGCUCUGUGACACCAAGCCAAAGGUGGCUGAGGGCUUUUCAUCUGCCUCAGAGGAAUGUGUUCUUUACCUUAUCGGUUGAGCCUCAGGGGCUCCUCCUCUACCAUGAUUAGCUUAAUAACACCAUCUCAAAGUGCCUCCUGCAUGAUGUCACCCUUCACAGGUUUAGCUUUGAGCCAGGAGGGACCCUGCCCCGUGCUGACCCUCCCAGAAUGACAGCAUCAUGUGCAAGCAACCUCCCAGCUCCCAUUUGAGAAUGGGGCACAGGGGCUGUCUUUGCUUCUCACUCCACAAGUGCAUUGGGAAGCAACUAGUGGUGAUUCACAGUCCAGAGCAUUUCUGCAGUGGUGGCUCUCAGCUGCUCUUGUCGCACAGAAAAUGGAAAUUUUUGCACCUAGCUUCAGCCAGGAAAGCUUGGUCAGACUCCCAAGGAAGGAAUAUUGCUCCUAAGGCACCUUUCAGCCUCUGGCUGUCCUCAUGAAGGCAGAGGAAGGAGCAGAAAUCUGCACAUGACUUCCCUUCAUCAGGCAAGGCUGCCUUGAAGGUCACCUCAAGCACCCCUGCGCCCUGCCACCAUGUGGAUAUAAAUCAAGCCAGUGGGUGUUUCUAGAGCCAAGAUCAGAGUGAAUCAAAGAUUAUUCCUCCCACUGCCAUGGCAAUAUAAAUUAACUCGUGGAGCAGAGGGCUAAGACAACCUUAAAGCUGAGCUGGUACCUACCUGACAGACACCACUGAGCUGCAGCAACGAGGUCACAGUCAGCAAUGCCACAAGCUCUCAGUGGCACUUGGGUGGCAAUGGUCCACCCCAAGAGCUGGGGCUCAACACCUGCAGUCUGAGGCGGACAUAUGGAUAUAUUGCUCAGAUAUGGAUAUCCAGGAGCGUGAGCAGCCACCUUGAGGAGGCGAUAAACUGCUCAUAAAAUGGCAACAUCCCAUGUAGGUUUCAAACUUGCUACUCUUAAGUUCAUCCUUGUUUUUCUCGGCUUAGUUAAAAAAUUGGAAAAGCUCAAAACUGUUUGCAGACUCUGGGAGUAGCACGGUGUUGGUGCUGAGCUCCAGAAAGUGCUUUUUGGUUUGCUAUUAAUAGAACCUCUCCUCAUUAAAUUAAUGAAAAAUAUCACUGAAAACAAAACAGCUUCAUUUUUAUCACAUAAUCUUGGGAGGGAAAACAACUUCUUAGGUGCUGAUGACAUUUGACACAGCUUGUUCUAUAUAGCCACCAAAACACUGCAAAACAACCUUUCCCAAGGAUAUCACCUGACACAAGCCUUCAAGGCCUUGGCAUCUGGAUCUCAGUUCUGAAAUCGGACUCCUAUCUGUGUGUGGUUCCAUGGAAAACUUCUGUCACUGUCUUCCAGAUGCCAGCUAAAGCCUGCAUGUUGCAAAGAAGGAGAUAAACCAUUCUGGAACUUUUGUCCAAGUCUGUCAGCUCAGUCACUUGUGGAUCUACCAUUCUGUGCCAGUGAGAAACAUGCCUGUCCCUGGUAGGACCAACCCAAGCCCCAUGAUGUAGGCAGGCAGCACAAAGAAAUUAAAUAAAAGAAUACUUUGCACUCAUAAAAGAGGAUCAGAUGUUUUAAGGUGUGAUACCUGCCCAAAAUGCCAGAUUUUGGAAGAGUCAGUCAUCCCAAGGCCAAGUUAAACAGGAUGCAAUCAAAGCUGAGUGGCUGCCCAGGGACAGGCUGGGUUUAUGAAUGACACUGGAGGUGGAACCUCCCUGAGUCACCAGCUUGUCUUGUUUAAAUUGGCCACAUCUAUGGAUAACCCCUUGUACCUUGGCUCUCUUCAGCAGUUUCACACCUUUAAACAACUGCCUUUCUUUCAUUAACUCGUUCUCUUAACUUUGCUCCAGAUUAAAUGGUUUUGGUGUGAUGCAUUUUCUCUUCUUUCAAUUUCAGGCAAACCUAUAUAGUGAAAAGACUUUACUCACCAGCUUUCUACCUUGUGAUGAUUAAAGCCAGUAAAGCAUCCUGGCACAAUGCAAGUAGGAAAAAUGUUUGCACUGAGAGCAGACACUUCAUCCACUAUUGUACCUUUGGUUUACAGCUCACAUACCAGAACCUGCAGACAUCUGGAAACCUGUGUUUUCUGAACUCAAUUGCCAAUAGGCCUCAACACACCACAGGCACGUCCAUACCCUCCAUUUUCAUCUGCACCACUUGUGAGUAAGUGCAGUCUCACACAUCCCUAGGAAUGGCAAGGCACACCACUCGUUUCCCCCUUCCCAGCUCCCUUUAAACAGAGAGACAGCAUGUGCAGCAGGGUCACCAACACAGCCCUGGGUAUGAACUCAUAAAUGUUCCUCAGCAGGGAAGCCCAGGCUUUCAAGAAAGACUUAGGGACUUUCUUCUGAUCUCAGGGCAUAUUUUUAAGCAGUUUCUCAAGGAUGGCUUUCCCCAUACAUUGGUCUUACCUCACCACACUACAACUCCAUGGGCUGUGACAGCAGCCUGAGUGCACACUCUGGUUGCCCAGCUCCAGGACCAAGUGUAAAAGGAGCAUGGAGCAUGGCAGAUCUUUAACACAUUGUUAGCUCCUGGAUCCACUCCUUCAAGGACCUGCAUGUCUUCAGUGUGACUCCCAGCUCCUGUUGUCCAUGGUCCUUUUCCAGUGUGAUGACCCUGAGAGCAAGGUGCAGCUACCAGGACAGUGGGAGCAUUGGGUAUCCAUAUCCACACCCCUCUUCAUCUUUGCAGACUCAGGGAGGGGGAGGAAAUGAGAUGCUCCCCCUCACCCUCACGGUGUUGUUGUCACAAGGCUGUGCCAUCAUGGCUAUGUUGCCCUGCCUGCUUGGAUAGAACUUCACUUCUGUUGGGAAGCUGGCAGUGCUGGCUCCUGAGGCAGAAUGGCCAGGCAGCUGCCAUGCAUGGUAGGGCACAAAAGGCCUCCAUGCAUUUCAGAUGGGUUGCCUUCAGAUUUCACUGUGGAACUGCUUCACGUGGUUUGGAACUUCUAGAGAACUUAUUCCUGCAUUAGAUUGUGAUCACAAAAUUUUGCAAGCAAGCUGCCCCUUUAACCUCACAGCAGGUAGAACGCUAUAUUUGGGGGUGUUUUGUUUGUGUAUACUUGCACCACACUGCACACAGAAGUUCUAAUCAAAGCCGAGGAAUUUUGUCCCUCAAAAGUCUCUUUGCCAGAGACUUUGGUACUGCUCCGGAUUUGAAAACUGUUCUAAUCAAGAAAAAAAUUAAGUCAGAAGGAUAGGAUGAGUAAUCAUUCCUGGGCAAGCAGACCUGCAGCAGCACACAGAAAGAAAGCACACUCCUUACACACCUACUGCUCCUGACUACACAGCCCCAACAGGAGCAGCCAGGCUGGCUAGGCCACCUCUCACCACAGGAACCCAGCUGAAACUCAUCAGUUACACAGCUGCUCCUCAUCUUGCCCACCUCCCAGUCCAGAUGUUCAGGGCACUGGACACUUGGAGCACCCUCCCUAAAGGGCGUUUCUGCUACACAGUCAGGGUGCAGCCCUCAAAAGCCUUUGGAUGGAAGAUGUUCCAGGAAAAUGGAUAGAAAUGGCAAAGAAUAUUUAUUUGCUUGGUUGCCUUUGAGAAUUUCUGAGAGGAACAAGAUCCUGCUGUGCUAGGUGAUGCACUUGAAUAACAAACCAGCAAUUUCCAUUUUGUCCUUUCCCAGGAACAACAAUUAGAGCAGGUCUUCCACAGUAAUUUCCCUGCCUUGUUUGAAAUACAGAUAUGCUGGCUUCCCUUUGCACAGAAAAAUUCUGUUUGUGUCUCUAUUUCAAUGAUGAUUUUGUCCAUUUAUGCCUCUACUUAUUAUUCAAUAUAGAAAGAGAAAAAAUCAAUCAUUCUUUCUACCUAUCUGACUGACUGCACUAAGAUAAAAUGUUGCACAAGUAAAGAUAUUAAAAAUGAUUUAACUUACUACAGGAAAAUAAUUGCAGAAUUCAACUGAGAUUAAUAGAACAAAAUAAGCUUAUCUGGGAUUUCUUUUGCAUUUUGUAGGAAAAGCAACUUAUUAUUUAUGAUGUAUGUGCUGUGAUCUCAAUGAACCUUUUUUCUGUG